rnacentral:rRNA from 1 species
AACGAACGCUGGCGGCGCGCCUAACACAUGCAAGUCGAACGAGAAUCCGGGGCAACCCGGUAGUAAAGUGGCAAACGGGUGAGGAAUACAUGGGUAACCUACCCUUGAGAAGGGAAUAACCCGCCGAAAAGGUGAGCUAAAUACCCUAUACGCUAUCUUUUUUUCGAAAAGGAUAGGAAAGCCGGGUCGAAGGACCUGGUACUCAAGGAGGGGCUCAUGUCCUAUCAGCUUGUUGGUGGGGUAACGGCCUACCAAGGCUACGACGGGUAGCUGGUCUGAGAGGAUGAUCAGCCACACUGGCACUGAGAUACGGGCCAGACUCCUACGGGAGGCAGCAGGGAGGAAUAUUGCGCAAUGGGGC